GACGGGGGGGGGGCAAGUGUUCUUCGGAAUGACUGGGCGUAAAAGGGCACGUAGGCGGUGAAUCGGGUUGAAAGUGAAAGUCGCCAAAAAAGUGGCGGAAUGCUCUCGAAACCAAUUCACUUGAGUGAGACAGAGGAGAGUGGAAUUUCGUGUGUAGGGGUGAAAUCCGUAGAUCUACGAAGGAACGCCAAAAGCGAAGGCAGCUCUCUGGGUCCCUACCGACGCUGGGGUGCGAAAGCAUGGGGGAGCGAACAGG
rnacentral:rRNA from 1 species